GUGAAUCAUCGAAUCUUUGAACGCACAUUGCACCCUCUAGCAUUCUGGGGGGUAUGCCUGUUCGAGCGUCAUUUCAACCUCAAGCACUGCUUGGUAUUGGAUGCCAUCACCCAUGUGGUGCCUCUUAAAAGCAUUGGCGGUAGCAUUAAGCUUCUAGUGUAGUAAUUUUCUUGCUUUGGAGUUGAGUGUGACUGCUGGAAUUUUUAUUUAUCAAUGGUUGACCUCGGAUCAGGCAGGGAUACCCGCUGAACUUAAGCAUAUCAAUAAGCGGAGGA
rnacentral:misc_RNA from 1 species